rnacentral:rRNA from 1 species
AGGCCGAAAGGCGUAGUCGAUGGGAAACAGGUUAAUAUUCCUGUACUUGGUGUUACUGCGAAGGGGGGACGGAGAAGGCUAUGUUAGCCGGGCGACGGUUGUCCCGGUUUAAGCAUGUAGGCUGGUUGUCCAGGCAAAUCCGGAUAAUCAAGGCUGAGGUGUGAUGACGAGGCACUACGGUGCUGAAGUAACAAAUGCCCUGCUUCCAGGAAAAGCCUCUAAGCAUCAGGUAACAUUAAAUCGUACCCCAAACCGACACAGGUGGUCAGGUAGAGAAUACCAAGGCGCUUGAGAGAACUCGGGUGAAGGAACUAGGCAAAAUGGUGCCGUAACUUCGGGAGAAGGCACGCUGGUGUGUAGGUGAAGCCCCUGCGGGUGGAGCUGAGACCAGUCGAAGAUACCAGCUGGCUGCAACUGUUUAUUAAAAACACAGCACUGUGCAAACACGAAAGUGGACGUAUACGGUGUGACGCCUGCCCGGUGCCGGAAGGUUAAUUGAUGGGGUUAUCCGUAAGGAGAAGCUCUUGAUCGAAGCCCCGGUAAACGGCGGCCGUAACUAUAACGGUCCUAAGGUAGCGAAAUUCCUUGUCGGGUAAGUUCCGACCUGCACGAAUGGCGUAAUGAUGGCCAGGCUGUCUCCACCCGAGACUCAGUGAAAUUGAACUCGCUGUGAAGAUGCAGUGUACCCGCGGCAAGACGGAAAGACCCCGUGAACCUUUACUAUAGCUUGACACUGAACAUUGAGCCUUGAUGUGUAGGAUAGGUGGGAGGCUUUGAAGCGUGGACGCCAGUCUGCGUGGAGCCAACCUUGAAAUACCACCCUUUAAUGUUUGAUGUUCUAACGUUGGCCCCUUACCGGGGUUGCGGACAGUGUCUGGUGGGUAGUUUGACUGGGGCGGUCUCCUCCCAAAGCGUAACGGAGGAGCACGAAGGUUAGCUAAUCCUGGUCGGACAUCAGGAGGUUAGUGCAAUGGCAUAAGCUAGCUUGACUGCGAGCGUGACGGCGCGAGCAGGUGCGAAAGCAGGUCAUAGUGAUCCGGUGGUUCUGAAUGGAAGGGCCAUCGCUCAACGGAUAAAAGGUACUCCGGGGAUAACAGGCUGAUACCGCCCAAGAGUUCAUAUCGACGGCGGUGUUUGGCACCUCGAUGUCGGCUCAUCACAUCCUGGGGCUGAAGUAGGUCCCAAGGGUAUGGCUGUUCGCCAUUUAAAGUGGUACGCGAGCUGGGUUUAGAACGUCGUGAGACAGUUCGGUCCCUAUCUGCCGUGGGCGCUGGAGAAUUGAGGGGGGCUGCUCCUAGUACGAGAGGACCGGAGUGGACGCAUCACUGGUGUUCGGGUUGUCAUGCCAAUGGCACUGCCCGGUAGCUAAAUGCGGAAGAGAUAAGUGCUGAAAGCAUCUAAGCACGAAACUUGCCCCGAGAUGAGUUCUCCCUGAGACUU